UUUAACAAUUCGAGAAAUUUAAAGAAAUUUAAAGUAAUUUUUUUUUAUUGUAUUUAAGACAAACAAAUUACAAUAUUUUUAAAUUUUUAAUAAAUUUAUAUCGAUUCUCUAACUUCAUCUGAAAUUUCCAACGUGUCUCGAGAAAAAUAAAAAAGACCCUAGAUACUAGUAAAAAAGACCGCGCAUUGUCACUAUUCACCAAGUCUAUCGUCUAGGAUCUCAAAUAUUUCAACACACUUUUAAAAAAUAAAAAAGAACCCUAGAUAGAAAAUUUUUACCAAGGAAAGUAAUAUACAUGGAUAAAAAUUAUCGGCCAGAUUAGACGUUUCUCGCGCAAAGGUCGUUCGUCUCCCGUCUCAUUUGAGCUGGCCUGUGCCCCCCUCCUCAUCGUUCUCCCUCAGUCAUCGUCUAGCCGCGUUUGCACGGUAGCCAUUUGCAAGAUUACGAGCGCUGCCGCUAGGGCGCUCAUUAACGAGCGAACGAAAGAAGAGAUUAUCAACUGACUAAGCGUAACUAACAACAACGAGCUACGUCCAAUUUGAGAAACGGCUAAUUAUAUGGCCGCGGGUACCUACCAUUCGCUUCGUGGCGCGAGCUACUUUUUUUUUUCGCGACCACCGACGACUAAUUACUCGAAACGACUUCGAUCGCCACCGUUGUGACACCAUUGCCCAACACACGCCAAGAUUAAUCGCGAUACGUUGUGCCCUACAGCAAAAUUAAUUGCAUCGAGUGCGUUUCCUCCUCGGGCUAAGCAUCGAGUGCCCAAAAACGACCAAUCCUUUCGAUAACCAAAAAAGAAGUAAAAAGAUAAAGAAGAGGAAGAUAUAACAGAAUAGUAGUCGAAUAUGAAUAUUCAUGGAUGGAUACAAGUAUUUCCACAGAUACAAAGUGUUAAUAUAUAACUUCUAAGAGUUCAAUUUGCCAUUAGAUGGAUCGAAAAAUAGUGUACUAUUAUGAGUUUUCUCAGUCAAUCGUCUAACAAUUUGUCGUCAAUGUACAAUGUACCAUGGUGCGUCACAUCCUUUAGGGAGAAAAGAUUCGUAAGUGAUGGUGUAGUUGUUACUUAAUGGUGGGACAAGUUUCCUCUAUGCACGAGAAAUAGGGGGAAGAAAUAAGGGUGGCGAGGCAGCAGAAUGAUCGGUAUGGUGUUCGCAUCAAUAUGAAACGAUCACGCGGGGGGGGAUUCGUGCUGAGACGAUAUUUAUAUCUGACAUUUUGUCGGCCCCUGUAACAUCGAGCACGUCUAAUAAUUACAAUACACAAGCGAAGAGAGGGCUUUGGAAUUAUCAUCGAAACUGUUCCUGUGAAACAACUGGAAACGAGACUUUGUGUAACUUUGUGAUCCAAAUUAAUUAAUAGAGGUCCAAAAGUUGAAGAAAAUUCAAUCGAAUAUACAAAAUUCUGUGAUUAUAUUUUUAACAUGACGAUUGAAAUAUUUUGUUGAUAGAACGAAAUUCAACAAUUGAAUCGCAUUAUAUCUAAUUUCUAUCUAAAAGAUUAUUUACAAAAAAUCAAUUUUUGAGUUAUAUCAUUGCAGUGAAUAAGCGACACGUUUGAUAAUAAUAAAAAUUGCAUUACACGCUCCUAGAUGGAUCAGAUUAAUCAUUGAUUGAUAUCUUGCAAACUAUAAUAGAUACAAAUACGCCUUAUGAAAUUAAAUGGAUAACUCUAAGACCAGGUUGUCGACUAUCAGAAAAAUUCUAAUUUUAGUCGCAGCUGAUAUAUCAAGCGGAGAAUUCAUCGCGAGAGGUGUAUGUGGAACGAGGUAGGAAAGUUUUAAUCGGCACCGUGGAUCGCGAUUUUCACCCCUUGGCGAAUCACGCAGCCACGAAAAUCGUUACGAAUAAAUAAUCGUUACUCGGCCGUGACGUUAACGACCGGCUGAUUAUCAAUUUCCAUUAUUGCGUUUAACGUUGGAAUAUACAUUAAUACGUCGAAAAAAAAAAAAAGAAAAGAAAAAAACAUGGUUAAUAUGGAGGCGUGGCUGAACUGGAAGGCUUAACGAAUAUUAAAUAUCACGGCCCUGUCAAAAAACAUUUGCCGCGCAUUACGUCUAAUGCCAUAUAGUGUGGCCACGUAAUUCGAAAUCCACCCUCGUCCAUAUCGUGAAAAUUAAUAUUGGAUCGUCUUUCCUUUCGUUUCAAUAUUUUCAAUUUCAAAAUUUAAUCACGCUCUAAUCAUUAUAAUCUAAUUCUUUUCUCAAUCGAGAAGCUGGCGAAUCUUAAUUAGAUUUGAACGUACUUUAAAACUCUGUCUUCUAUUUUUUUUUUUUUUUUAUAAUCUAUAUAUAACUUGUUUGUUUUCAAGCACCAUCAAUUGACAAAUUUCCCAGAAAGAUUCCCGCGAAAAAACUAUAUUGUAAACACUCGAUACAAACACUCCCUCUUCCUCUCUCUUUCUCUCUCCACAAUUCAAUUCUUGCCGCUCCCCUUUUCAAACACCCCUUCAAAUCUCGAUCAUCCACGUACAUGCAUGAUCCAAAAACAUGUAACAGGGAUUGAACGAAGAUCCUCGGACAGUUGAAACGUCUGGCCACAUUCCUGGACGAUGAUUUUCGUGCCUGCACAUGGCGAGCCCGAGGGUCUAGGACCCCUAGCAAGAGAGAAGGACGGGAGGGAGGGAGGGAGGGGGGUUAGAUUUGAUUCGUAGGGGGAUAGAAACAGAUCGGGUACGGUCGGUGCGCCUCGACGGAACGCCAUGGAAGGGAGAUGGUCGGCGUGCAACACCGUACCAAAGCAAUAUCCAUAGGAAACACCCCGUUGUCAGAGGGAGAGACGAAGAGACGCGCGAUCAAUCACGAGGGACCCUGCUGCCACGUUCGUGGCCCUCGUAUCAAACGUAACGCACGUUGGAAUUCAGCGAUGCGCCGUUUUUGUUAAUCAAAUUUUCCCGCCGUUUCUCGCGGGAAACGUUGAAUGCGCCUCCAUUUUGAAUCUCGAGAUCGUGCGUCGAACGUUCGUGGUUUGAGGUUAUCUUUGGAGAAUUGAGAUUCUGAAGAGUACAAAAGUUGACGCAGGCGACAAUAAAAUAAUUGUUCUUCCCGAAAUCUCCUUCAAUUACGGCCACGGAGCGCAGGAGUGGUGCCUUGUAACUGUCGAGAGCGUUUAACAAGGGCCACGUGUGUAAGACAAUUCACGAUGGUUGUUACGGCUCGGGAUUCCCUGUGUGUUGGAACGGUGAACGACAAACAACAGGAUCCAGGUUGCCUCUGUUUCUGCCCACGCAACGGCCAACAAACGUCAGAACGAAAAGAAGCCAAAUGGACUCUUUGACAUCCAAGUUCCAGAGCAACGAAACAAGGAACCAAACAGUCAUCAAAGUGAAAUGCCAGUUGUCCAACGACUCGCCAAAGGCUGAUUAAUGUACACGGAAGAAAGAGAAGAAGAACGAGAGAAUAAAAUAAGAAAGAGGAUGGCUAAGUCUCUUUCAGAUGUUUAAUGUAUUAAACAAAUUUAAUAGGAUGUUUCACGUGAUAUAUUAUAGAAACUUUAAGAGGAUCUUUAAGAUAAUAUGAUACACAAAUAGGAUCUUUCAGACGAACCCAUAAGAAUUCAAAUAACCCGCAAAUUCGUAAGGCAUUUUAUACAAUGUAUACUCAAUAGAGAGCCUUUCGCCAUAUCCAUUGUACAAACAGGAUAAUACGAAUAUUACUGUAUGAAACAGGCUCGAGAGAAGCAGUACGAUAAACAAAAGAAACGUAACAAGGAAAAAAGAAAAGGAAAUAUUCUUCUUAAUCUGGUCAUAAAUCCAGCGUAAUCCAAAUUCGCCUGGCGGAGUUGUUGCGCUCUCGUGCGAUUAAAUAUUAACAACGGGAGGCCGAUUGCGUAAUUAAAAGGGUAUUCGUGCUAUUACGGCCCAAGUCGCGGAAACGAGCGUGCAAACCGAGCUGCAAACAGGAUCCGUGGUAACUUCCUUAUCUGGCUUUUCGAUUUUCCCUAACUUUGAAAUCCAACUAAAGGGACCAAGUUUGGUCGCAACUUUCCACGCCGCCGCCAUUUUGCCGUCGAUACGCGGAAUCGAGCGUUAUUUCACUUUAAACCCUUGAAAAUGGGCCUCAGCAGGAAAGACAAGGAGAAUUUUUUUGAAUCAAAGAAAAAUUAAAGAAUUAAUUAAGGAAUGAUAAGAUUAUAUUGUUAUUACAAUGCCAUAUUGUACAGAAUUAUCAAUGCAAGUUACGUUGAAAUAGAUAAAAGUUAUCGACUAAAUGACAGCAAUCUGAAAAAUAAGGAGUAUUAAACUAAUUAUUCUGUUCAUUAAUUAUUUAAUUUGUUGUCACGUAAAAAAAAAAUUAUUGAAGCUAUUGUUUCAAUUAUUCUUCCAAUCUUAAAAUGAAAAUUGAAGUCGAAUUAAUCAUGCCAAAGAAUGAAAUAAUGAUCGAUUGUUAUAUCCUCCUGAAAGAAUAAAAAUUCUCGUGAUUCAAUUAUUUCUCGACGACACGACGAUUAUCAAAUAGUAAUUAUCGUGAGAAAAAGGAAUACGAUGAUAUUUUAAGCUGUCAAAUAAAAAAUACAUCAAACGAGAGAUCAAUCGUAUAUGUAAUUAUGUAAUUACGUUUCACACGGAAUAUUCUCUACAGUCUGAAUUGAGUUAUACUUAGACGCCGCUCGAAACCAUUUAUGCAGUCAUUAAGGCAUCAUUAAUCUUGACUCCGUUAUACGCGACAAGUCAUUGUUAGGAACAGGUGCUACUUCCUAGAUGGACGGGAUUGUUAGCCGAAUGAAUGAAAUAUAAAGAAAUCGACGGUAAAAAUCUCGGCUAGAAACGAGCCGUGACUAGUAAUUAGCAAAUGUAUCGAGAAAAAUGUAAUUUUAAUGAAGAAAUGAGAAAUACAAGCUUCUGUUUUUAUUAAAGAUGAAAUAAUAUUUACAAUUAUAUAUGGAAAUAGUUAUUAUCGUAGAUUAUAUCCACUUAAUUCUACAAAUUUUUCCAAUUACAUCUCGAUUAAUAUAUUUUGUAAAGAAUCGUUAGAUAUUUAGAUCUAUGAUAUAAGAUAAUUAAUGUACGAUAUAAGAUUGUCAAAAUGAAUGUAAAUAAAUGCAAAUAAAUGCAAAUGUUAUUGAAGCAA